UAUAAGUUUGAUUCUGGCUUAUAUUUUGUUUAAAUUUACAAAUCAAAUAUUAAUAUAAAUUACUUAAUGUCAUUAUAUUGUAGUGGUUAGUUUUGAUUAUCAAACUUUUUGGAAUCAGUUAAAAUUUUUAAGUCCGGCUUAACUCGUGCCAGCCGCCGCGGUUAUACGAUGGGAUUAAAUAAAAUUGUUUGGUGGAAUUAAGUAGAGUUUAUUUUUAAAUAAUUUUUUGAUUAUAUUUUUAGGGGUGAAAUUUUUAAACAUAUGUAGUAAUGAUUAUAAAAAAUUUUAUAUCUUUUGAAAUAAAGUUCUAAACUAGGAUUAGAUACCCUAUUAUUCUUUAUUGUUUAGUGCCUGGGUAGUAGAGAUAUUUUUAAACCUAAAGAAUUUGGCGGUACUUCAUUCUUACUAGAGGAACCUGCUCUUGUAUCGAUAUUCCACGAUUAAAUUUACAUAUUUUUGUUUUCAGUUUGUAUACCGCCGUUGUCAGAUUAUUUUUAAAAAAUAUUAUCUAAUUAGUUUAUUACUAUGACAUCAGGUCAAGGUGCAGCCAAUAAAUGUGGGAGUAGUGGGUUACAAUAAUAUUAAAUUAUUACGGAUUAAUAAUUGUAUAAUUAUUAUAAAGGUGGAUUUAGUAGUAAAAUAGAAAUAAAAGGUUUAUAUGAAUUGAGCUCUGAAGUGUGUACACAUCGCCCGUCGCUCUCUCCUCUAAGGAGAGAUAAGUCGUAACAUAGUAGAUGUACUGGAAAGUGCCUCUAGAUAGUC
rnacentral:ncRNA from 1 species